rnacentral:lncRNA from 1 species
UUCAUAAGAAUUGUGCUACCAAAUGAAGACCCGGAAACUGACAUUGAUGUUGAAAGAAGGAGCAAGAUGUGAUCUAAAAUGGUUCCUGAGCAUUAGAAGAGUAAGCUGAACCACAGUGCAGCCCGCAGAAGGCAAAGAUCCCUUCUUCCUUUUGCAGCCCAAAUUCAAAAAUGCUGUGGGGCAGAAAAGGUGGUAGAGGUGGCUAUGAGAGAAUACCAAUGGCAGGAGGAAGGAAACUAGAGGGUACUGAAUGGUCAAAGAUGAGGGAAAGUUGCUCACUUUUUUCAAGAUUUGAAGAAACUAUGCAGCAUCCAUCCUCGAGAGUGUGUUCGAAGUGUCAGCAGCCAUAUCAAGUUAUGAGGAUACAAUUACUGCAGCAGAAGCACAAAGUGUUUUAUAUCAGUAUAAUUGACUCUGGGGAAGACUAUUUUGAUAUUAGGAGUGAAGACUGGGAGUGUGCAAGUCCUUGGUGUUUGUGGAUGUUAUAAGAGGACUUGCAGGAAGCUUAUAUCCUAAAGAAGCUGGUCAGUAUUGAUUUACCCUUCUAGGUGUGUGUGUUGGGGAAGGGGUGGCUGUGUAUUUAUCCGGGCUAUAAUAUUUUCCUGGCUGCUCUGUAUAUCUUCUAUAUCUCAUUGUUCAUCUAAUUAUUAAAAUGUAUGCAUCAGCUUUUCAUUGGCAGCAAGAUUACUUCCACAGUAGUUCCAAGAGUUCAAGGUCUCUUCAUUGCACAGCCCCACAUUGUACCAACCACUUAGAUCUGCUUCAGGAGUAACUUUUCGUCAUAAAAAGUGAGUGGAGCUCUCUGAACUUGUACAACACUGAGAUCCUACAAUUAUAGCAGCAAAUUCUUACUAAGAAUACUAUUGCAGAAGUAAUGUUUCUUCAAGAUUGUGAGAUGAAUCUGUAGUCUAUCCAUUCUAAAUUUUAGCCAUGGGUUAUUCCAGAUCAUCAAAGACAGUAUUGUUCGCGCUCAAAAUGAAAAGUAUGGCUUUCAUUCUGAGAGUAAAUUUAAACUUCAGUUUGUUGAAAAAUACUUAUUUUUAAGAAACAUGAUAAAGAUAGACGAUAGUUUUUUAUUGUUUGUCUUCUACUGCCCUAAAGUGGAAAUUACGACAUUCAAAAGACAAAAUUAUUCUCUAACUUUAAAUAUAUUUCAUCGAAAUAGAUAAUUCUGGACCCACUAAGCUUAGUUGCCAGGUUUCCCACAUGCCACCUCAGUCAUCUCU